rnacentral:rRNA from 1 species
AUUGAACGCUGGCGGCAUGAUUUACACAUGCAAGUCGAACGGUAACAGGCCGCAAGGUGCUGACGAGUGGCGAACGGGUGAGUAAUGCAUCGGAACGUGCCCAGUCGUGGGGGAUAACUACUCGAAAGAGUAGCUAAUACCGCAUACGAUCUAUGGAUGAAAGCGGGGGACCGUAAGGCCUCGCGCGAUUGGAGCGGCCGAUGUCAGAUUAGGUAGUUGGUGGGGUAGAGGCUCACCAAGCCAACGAUCUGUAGCUGGUCUGAGAGGGCGACCAGCCACACUGGGACUGAGACACGGCCCAGACUCCUACGGGAGGCAGCAGUGGGGAAUUUUGGACAAUGGGCGCAAGCCUGAUCCAGCAAUGCCGCGUGCAGGAAGAAGGCCUUCGGGUUGUAAACUGCUUUUGUACGGAACGAAACGGCUCUGGUUAAUACCCGGGGCUAAUGACGGUACCGUAAGAAUAAGCACCGGCUAACUACGUG